UACGGAGGGUGCAAGCGUUAUCCGGAUUCACUGGGUUUAAAGGGUGCGUAGGUGGGCUAGUAAGUCCGUGGUGAAAUCUCCAAGCUUAACUUGGAACUGCCGUGGAUACUAUAGUCUUGAAUGUUGUGGAGGUAAGCGGAAUAUGGUCAUGUAGCGGUGAAAUGGCUUAGAUAUGACAUAGAACACCGAUAGCGAAGGCAG
rnacentral:rRNA from 1 species